UGGGGUCGCUUUCGGGUCGCCCCAUAGGAACUUUAUAUAGAUAUUCUACUAUAUUCCCUUUAACUAGGCUCGUAUCACUUCCUUUAUAUAAAAGGACAAACCCGCCUUCCAUGGCACAUACAAAUGAUGCUACUACUUCCAAGAUUUGUUCCGGGAACAUCUCCAACACACCUCACGGCGGGUCUUCUCAGAUGCACACGUGCCGGCCUACGUGGCUGUACCAUGUGGGGCU
rnacentral:rRNA from 1 species